ACUAGUGAUCACUUUCGAGCUUGUUGAGCGGUGUGAAGUUAAGAACUUCAAAGAAAUUUCUUAUACUUUUCUUCGAGUGCUCAAAGCUUAGGACCCCUCUAACAUACUGGCUCGUAGAAAAUUCAAUAAAUUUGAUGAAAUUUAUGACAAGGGCGGGCUCUUUCUAAGCUAUAAAAAGUGGGCGUGGAAGGCAUAAAUGCAAGGCAUGGAGAAUAAAGCAAGACAAAAUAUUAGAGGGUUUGGGGGUUUCUUGUCGCAGGAGAGAUGGCGCUAGCUAACCAUGAUCAUAUCAUAUGGCGAGUACUGUUUGCUCUUUGUAUCAGGUGUAAAGAUAGCUCAGCUAAAGCCAUCCUCCUGCGACAAGACACCCUGCAACUUCUUCGCUUGCCGGCGUUUCACCUGAGGACAAAAAUCACAGUUGGCCAUCCUGAUGGCUACGAUAUCACACAUAGAUGUAUUAUGAUCCGCUGAUCAUGACGAUUUUCGUUUUUUAUUGUUUCCUCUUUCAGAUAGGACCACAGGCAUGCAGCUAUAUAGCCAAUCGACGGCAGAAGACAACGACACUCGAGGCGGAUCUCUGCAGCAGCCUGAUUUUAACCUUGCGAACAACAAUGGUUUCUUUUAAUUCCUUAAUUUCAUGUUUGCUACUCAGAGGGUGUCAUGUCUUGUAGUGAAAACCAUAAAAACAUAGCCAUGAUCGAACAAACAUGUACCCCUCCACUUAGCAAGGAGACAAGACACUCUUGAUUUCUUUGUAGCGGUGAGGGUGGUAGUGGUGUGAGCUGUAUCUAGUGGAAGCUUGGCAGCUGGUUCACUGGGUCUGCAACGACGCCUUUGAAGCAGAGGUUGUAGCAGUGUAAGAAGAGUGAAGGGAUCUGUGGUGUUUGUUUGAUUGUGCAGACCAGAAGGAGUGUGAGGGAGAGAGAUGGGUUGUUUGUCUGUCACAUUCGUGCGUAAAGAUGGGGAAGAAACGAUGAAGGGAGGAGAAAGACGACAGGGUAUGAGGAAUUAACUCAUUGGAUUUGGUUCCGUUUCGGUUUUACAAGGCUGAAACUAAAAUAACCGGACCGAACCAUUAACGUUGGCUCGAGCAACAACGUUUCUUUUUGUUCAAUCUGUCUGUCUCUGAAUGACUCUGUCAAUUUACAGGCUGUGAUGGAAAGUGAUUUUUCUGUUUCCCACUUUUAGGAGUCCAUGGACACUGCUACAAGAGAGAUGCCCAGAUUGUAAUUAUAAAGAGACUAUCUCAUGAUUCCCUUUAUCA